UCAUCUGGGCCUGGACCUGAAGAGGCACAAAGGGAUAUUUUGGGGUCCCUGAUGAGGGUCCCAGGUGUCCCGCAUGUUUUAAAUAAUUAGCUUUUUUUGAUUAAUAAGGAGAAUUUAUUUCAUAAUUAAAAUACAGUCUUAGAAUGUCUAGAAGCAAAUAUCAGAUUGGCCCUGAAGCAGGCUGACAGCGUCAGGUGAGACAGGUGGGGCAUUUCUCUCCCCUGUGCAUCACUAAGGGACAGCUCUCACAAAGUGUUUUUGUACAUUUCCAAGCUCCAAGGGUUGUUGGGGGCAGGCGUUUUUCUGCUUUCUUAUGGUUGAUCUUAUCCUUUUUGCAUUUUCAUGUAGUUUUUCCUUUCUUGCUGCAGCUCUUGCUGAGAGUUUCCCCAAAACUGCUGAACCUGCUGGUGAAGGUGGUGCAGCUUCCCAAGCCACGUCCAGGACUGAGGCUGUGGGAGAUGCCGAGGGUGUGUCUGCAGGGAGGACUUGUCCAGCUCCUUUGCUGAUUCCUACACAGAAGCCUGGCAACCAUCGCAGGGGUCCUCUGAGGGGGAAGGACCAAGCUACAGGACACCAGAAACUCCAUGAUCCAUCCAAAAACAUGAGGCAAAUGCUGAAGGAAAUGCAGCAGGCAGGAGAAGAAGUGGAUGCAGAGGCUGGGCAUAAGGCGGCGUUUCCCAGAGGAAGCAGUGGUUCCGUGCCAGCCUCUGCUGCAGGAAGAGAGGCGAUGCCAGGCCCAGGCCCAGGAG